GCAAGUCGAACGAAGCACAUACGACGGAACUCUUCGGAGGGAAGAUGUGUGUGACUGAGUGGCGGACGGGUGAGUAACGCGUGGGUAACCUGCCCUAUACAGGGGGACAACAGUUGGAAACGACUGCUAAUACCGCAUAAGCGCACAGUACCGCAUGGUACAGAGCGAAAAACUCCGGUGGUAUAGGAUGGGCCCGCGUCUGAUUAGUUAGUUGGCGGUGUAACGGACCACCAAGACGACGAUCAGUAGCCGGCUUGAGAGAGUGAACGGCCACAUUGGGACUGAGACACGGCCCAAACUCCUACGGGAGGCAGCAGUGGGGAAUAUUGCACAAUGGGGGAAACCCUGAUGCAGCAACGCCGCGUGAGUGAAGAAGUAUUUCGGUAUGUAAAGCUCUAUCAGCAGGGAAGAAAAUGACGGUACCUGACUAAGAAGCCCCGGCUAACUACGUGCCAGCAGCCGCGGUAAUACGUAGGGGGCAAGCGUUAUCCGGAUUUACUGGGUGUAAAGGGAGCGCAGGCGGUCUGGCAAGUCUGAUGUGAAAUCCCGGGGCUCAACUCCGGAAUUGCAUUGGAAACUGUCAGACUAGAGUGCCGGAGAGGUAAGUGGAAUUCCUAGUGUAGCGGUGAAAUGCGUAGAUAUUAGGAGGAACACCAGUGGCGAAGGCGGCUUACUGGACGGUAACUGACGCUGAGGCUCGAAAGCGUGG
rnacentral:rRNA from 1 species